GACGAACGCUGGCGGCGCGCCUAACACAUGCAAGUCGAACGAGCGAGAGAGAGCUUGCUUUCUCGAGCGAGUGGCGAACGGGUGAGUAACGCGUGAGGAACCUGCCUCAAAGAGGGGGACAACAGUUGGAAACGACUGCUAAUACCGCAUAAGCCCACGGGUCGGCAUCGACCAGAGGGAAAAGGAGCAAUCCGCUUUGAGAUGGCCUCGCGUCCGAUUAGCUAGUUGGUGAGGUAAUGGCCCACCAAGGCGACGAUCGGUAGCCGGACUGAGAGGUUGAACGGCCACAUUGGGACUGAGACACGGCCCAGACUCCUACGGGAGGCAGCAGUGGGGAAUAUUGCACAAUGGGGAAACCCUGAUGCAGCGACGCCGCGUGGAGGAAGAAGGUCUUCGGAUUGUAAACUCCUGUUGUUGGGGAAGAUAAUGACGGUACCCAACAAGGAAGUGACGGCUAACUACGUG
rnacentral:rRNA from 1 species